AGCGAACGCUGGCGGCAGGCCUAACACAUGCAAGUCGAACGAACUCUUCGGAGUUAGUGGCGGACGCGUGAGUAACACGUGGGAACGUGCCUUUCGGUUCGGAAUAACUCAGGGAAACCUGUGCUAAUACCGAAUGUGCCCUUCGGGGGAAAGAUUUAUCGCCUUUAGAGCGGCCCGCGUCUGAUUAGCUAGUUGGUGAGGUAAAGGCUCACCAAGGCGACGAUCAGUAGCUGGUCUGAGAGGAUGAUCAGCCACAUUGGGACUGAGACACGGCCCAAACUCCUACGGGAGGCAGCAGUGGGGAAUCUUGCGCAAUGGGCGAAAGCCUGACGCAGCCAUGCCGCGUGAAUGAUGAAGGUCUUAGGAUUGUAAAAUUCUUUCACCGGGGACGAUAAUGACGGUACCCGGAGAAGAAGCCCCGGCUAACUUCGUGCCAGCCGCCGCCGUAA
rnacentral:rRNA from 1 species